UACGUAGGGGGCAAGCGUUGUCCGGAAUCAUUGGGCGUAAAGAGCGCGUAGGCGGCCCGGUAAGUCCGCUGUAAAAGUCCAGGGCUCAACCCUGGAAAGCCGGUGGAUACUGUCGGGCUAGAGUCCGGAAGAGGCGAGUGGAAUUCCUGGUGUAGCGGUGGAAUGCGCAGAUAUCAGGAGGAACACCGAUGGCGAAGGCAGCUCGCUGGGACGGUACUGACGCUGAGGCGCGAAAGCGUGGGGAGCUAACAGG
rnacentral:rRNA from 1 species